rnacentral:rRNA from 1 species
UACGUAGGGGGCGAGCGUUGUCCGGAUUUAUUGGGCGUAAAGAGCGUGUAGGCGGCCAGGUAGGUCUGCUGUGAAAACUCGAGGCUCAACCUCGAGACGUCGGCGGAAACCAUCUGGCUAGAGUCCGGAAGAGGAGAGUGGAAUUCCUGGUGUAGCGGUGAAAUGCGUAGAUAUCGGAAGGAACAUCAGUGGCGAAAGCGGCUUCCUGGACCAGCACCGACGUUCAGGCACGAAAGCGUGGGGAGCAAACAGG